rnacentral:lncRNA from 1 species
UUCCUUACUUACUUAUUUUAGGAAAAUUAAUUUUACAGAUUUAGCUCUCUUUGUUAAGGAAAUCUUGUGAUCUGUAAUUGCUCCUCAUUAAUUAUUUUUCCUUUGGCAUGAUCCCUCCCUAACUAUAAAAAGAGACAUCCCCUCAUUAUUUUAGGGGCAGACAUUCGAACAAGAAAAAAGAAGAAGAAGAAAAUACUCUCUACUAAAAAGAAUUAAGUGCUUUCGGUUAAAACAAAAGUUCCUCUCUGUGUUGCUGUUUUGCUGUGUUCGGGUC